rnacentral:rRNA from 1 species
GACGAACGCUGGCGGCGUGCUUAACACAUGCAAGUCGAGCGGUAAGGCCCUUUCGGGGGUACACGAGCGGCGAAACGGGUGAGUAACACGUGGGUGACCUGCCUUUAGCUCUGGGAUAAGCCUGGGAAACUGGGUCUAAUACCGGAUAUGACCCUAUGGCGCAUGUUGGUGGGGGUAGGAAAGCCUUGUGCGGCUAGGGAUGGGCCCGCGGCCUGUCAGCUUGUUGGUGGGGUGAUGGCCUACCAAGGCGACGACGGUAGCCGGCCUGAGAGGGCGACCGGCCACACUGGGACGUGAGACACGGCCCA